rnacentral:lncRNA from 10 species
CACCCAGGCUGCCUGAUAACAGAUGUGAUUUCCAGCUGUGUCUAUAUACCAACCAUGUCUCCAGAUGAACAAAAGCAGAACUAUGAGAGGGUUCUCCACAUCUGUAAAGAAGAAAAAAUAAUAAACCGUCCAGCCAAUAUCAUAAGCACACAGAUAAUGAAGCUGUUCACAAUGGCAUGAGAGUACAGAAGAGAAACUAGAGCCCAUGAAAAGGAUGCUUACCUGCCAGAGAACUCUGCAAGUCUGUGCUGUUGGAAGAAAGAGAGAAGUCUAUGGAAAGCCCUCUCUUAUACACAGAGCUGCAUUUUUCUUCUUAGGUGUGUGAAGUACAGAAGACGCUUAUCAAAGUAAUGCAUUGGACACAUCAAAAUUGACAAACGACUUACUUAACAAAAGAUAUUUGAAUGCAGCUGUUUCUACACUUGUGUGAUGCCAUUCCUUCUGCCCCACUCUUCACCUGAAUAAUUUCCAUGGGGGCUCAGCCAUGUUGAAGCAUGUAUGUCAAACUGAUGUAAGAGUUUGACAGAAAUGUAUUUGCAUGAAUUGCUGAAGAGCCUCCUGAGAGAAUACUCGUAUUAGGGUAGAAAGAAUACAGGUGCUGAAAUGAGCUCAACCCAUUAACACUAUUUAUUGAAAUA